UACGGGGGGAGCAAGCGUUGUUCGGAUUUACUGGGCGUAAAGGGCGCGUAGGCGGCCACCGCAAGUCGGUUGUGAAAUCUCUGGGCUUAACCCAGAAAGGUCAACCGAUACUGCGGGGCUAGAGUGCAGAAGGGGCAACUGGAAUUCUCGGUGUAGCGGUGAAAUGCGUAGAUAUCGGGAGGAACACCAGUAGCGAAGGCGGCACUCUGGGCCGGUACUGACGCUGAGGAGCGAAAGCGUGGGGAGCAAACAGG
rnacentral:rRNA from 1 species